rnacentral:rRNA from 1 species
UACGGGGGGGGCAAGCGUUGUUCGGAAUUACUGGGCGUAAAGGGUUCGUAGGUGGCCUACUAAGUCAGACGUGAAAUCCCUCAGCUUAACUGGGGAACUGCGUCUGAUACUGGGGGGCUUGAGGACAGGAGAGGAACGCGGAAUUCCAGGUGUAGCGGUGAAAUGCGUAGAUAUCUGGAGGAACACCGGUGGCGAAGGUGGCGUUCUGGACUGUUUCUGACACUGAGGAACGAAAGCCAGGGGAGCAAACGGG